rnacentral:lncRNA from 1 species
UCUAUAUAUAUGUAGGACCAAACUAAAUCUUAGUGUUAGUUCUACUUCAUGGGUUGCAAUUAUUUUCCAGCACCCAUUGUUUCGGAAGUAAAUUCCAAUGGCUGGAUUCAGUAACACAAAAAUUAGAUGAGCAUCGAAAGAGAUCAUAUAUUGCGUUACUUUUCUAGUUAAUUUGUUCAUACCAAUAAAGAUUGUUUUAAUAUGCUUUUUGAGAUGCCAUUGUGUUUAGGUCUUGUAACUUGGAAUUUAUUUGUAGUGCUUAUAGAAAAGAGAUGCAAAAGACAAACUGUCUUCUUUAUGAAUGGUUGUCAGAACUUCACUUGUGUAUGGCUAGAUAAUUGUUCUCAUUUUUUUUAAAGUAUUCUAAUCUAUACUUGUAUUUUUUAGGUAUCUGCAUCAAAAGAGUCACUAAAUAGUAGGCGUUUUGAGUCAAGCAAGCACUGAGGAUCAUGAAGCAACAUCACUAGGAAAUAUUUAGAUAUUUUUGUGAACUUCUAAUUUUGAUGUAAUUGUUUUGUAUGUUUAGUCACUN